AGUGGCGGACGGGUGAGUAACGCGUGAGAAUCCACCUUCAGGUCGGGGACAACAGUUGGAAACAGCUGCUAAUACCGGAUGAGCCGAAAGGUAAAAGGCUUGCCGCCGGAAGAAGAGCUCGCGUCUGAUUAGCUAGUUGGAGAGGUAAAAGCUCACCAAGGCGACGAUCAGUAGCUGGUCUGAGAGGAUGACCAGCCACACUGGGACUGAGACACGGCCCAGACUCCUACGGGAGGCAGCAGUGGGGAAUUCUCCGCAAUGGGCGAAAGCCUGACGGAGCAAUACCGCGUGAGGGAGGAAGGCUCUUGGGUCGUAAACCUCUUUUCUCAGGGAAGAAGAAAGUGACGGUACCUGAGGAAUCAGCAUCGGCUAACUCCGUGCCAGCAGCCGCGGUAAUACGGAGGAUGCAAGCGUUAUCCGGAAUCAUUGGGCGUAAAGAGUCCGUAGGUGGCGGAUCAAGUCUGUCGUUAAAGAGCGGGGCUUAACCCUGGAAAGGCGAUGGAAACUGAUCGAGCUAGAGUACGGCAGGGGUAGAGGGAAUUCCCAGUGUAGCGGUGAAAUGCGUAGAGAUUGGGAAGAACACCGGUGGCGAAAGCGCUCUACUAGACCUGUACUGACACUGAGGGACGAAAGCUAGGGGAGCGAAUGGGAUUAGAUACCCCAGUAGUCCUAGCCGUAAACGAUGGAUACUAGG
rnacentral:rRNA from 1 species